AUCAUUGAUUUUGUUUGUUAGAAAUUUGACCUGGGUUAGUGUUUCACUUUCCUGCGUUACUUUGAGUAAAUGGGAGUGCUCCAACCAAGCUAAAGCUUGAACUACUCAGCAUGGAAUAACAAAAUAGGACCUAGAUUCUUAUUGUUGGUUCAUGAAUCAUGUGUAAUAGUGGAUAAGGACAUUCGGGGGCAUUUGUACUUGCUGGAGAGAGGUGAAAUUCUAAGACCCAGCAAAGACAAACAAGUGCGAAAGCAUUUGCCUAGUGUGUGCCUGUUAAUCAAGGACGAAAGUUGGGGGAUCGAAGACGAUUAGAUACCGUCGUAGUCCCAACUAUAAACUAUGCCGACUGAGGAUCGGUGGAGAGGCUUUACGUCUCCUUCGGCACUCUAAGAGAAAUCUAAGUCUUUGGGCCCUGGGGGGAGUAUGGUCGCAAGGCUGAAACUUAAAGGAAUUGACGGAAGGGCACCACCAGGAGUGGAGCCUGCGGCUUAAUUCGACUCAACGCGGGGAACCUUACCAGGCCCGGACAUAGUCAUGAUUGACAGAUGAAGAGAUCUUUCUUGAUUCUAUGGGUGGUGGUGCAUGGCCGUUCUUAGUCGGUGAGGUGACUUGUCUGGUUAAUUCCGAUAACGGACGAGACCUUGACCUACUGAAUAGCAACAUCUUGCAUUGCAAGAUGAUAGCUUCUUAGAGGGACUUUGGG
rnacentral:rRNA from 1 species